GGAAAAAUUGAUAAAACCGACUAAACACGGUAUACUCAUAGGUGUACGCGCGUAAUAAGUAUUUACUUACGACGAGUUUCGAAUUCCGAAUUAGUUUGCGGAUAUUGGUUUGGGUUCUGGAGAGGCGAUACCCGUGGCGAAUCGAUAAUAUGACCGUCAUUUCCGUUUUUGAAAUAUAUACGCCGUUGAAUUAUCGCUCGCCUUAACGGUUUUUAAUAAAUUCAUUUCUAUAAAACUAUUAUUAUCGUAAUAUUUUGUGUCGGAGUGAUGAGCACCACGAGUAGAGAGAGACAGACAGAGAGAAUUCCGGCUAACCGAACGAUGAUGUGGCACAGUGGUGACAUGCUUUUUUAUAUUCGAGGGGUUGUCGUAUAUGUGCCGUUUAAACGUAUUUUUUAAAAAAAAAAAAAAAAACUGAAAAUGUACAUUCAAACAAUUAUAUAGCUUUAGUUGAAAUUAUAAACCGCAGUGUUGUUUCCGUCGAAAAAUAAUAGAUCAUUUUGUUCGUUCAUCAUAUCGCAGCGCUCGUAUUGAUUUGU